CCUACGUGGUGCAGCAGUGAGGAAUAUUGGUCAAUGGGCGAGAGCCUGAACCAGCCAAGUCGCGUGAGGGAAGACGGUCCUAUGGAUUGUACACCUCUUUUGCCGGGGAGCAAAAAGCGGUACGCGUACCGCACCGAGAGUACCCGGCGAAAAAGCAUCGGCUAACUCCGUGCCAGCAGCCGCGGUAAGACGGAGGAUGCGAGCGUUAUCCGGAUUUAUUGGGUUUAAAGGGUGCGCAGGCGGCGGGUUAAGUCAGCGGUAAAAUUUCGGGGCUCAACCCCGACGAGCCGUUGAAACUGGCUGGCUAGAGUGGGCGAGAAGUAUGCGGAAUGCGUGGUGUAGCGGUGAAAUGCUUAGAUAUCGCGCAGAACUCCGAUUGCGAAGGCAGCAUACCGGCGCCCAACUGACGCUCAGGCACGAAAGCGUGGGUAUCGAACAGGAUUAGAUACCCUUGUAGUC
rnacentral:rRNA from 1 species